GACGAACGCUUGCGGCGUGCCUAAGAAAUGCAAGUCGAGCGAGAUUUUACGCUGUCCAAAGCUUCGGCAGAGGACUUGUAAAGUCUAGCGGCGAACGGUCGCGUAACACGUAGGCAACCUGCCCUAAAGUAUGGGAUAGCCCGCCGAAAGGCGGAUUAAUACCGUAUGUGAAUACUCUUUCGCAUGAGAGAGUAUUUAAAGCAGCAAUGCGCUUUAGGAUGGGCUUGCGGCCUAUCAGCUAGUUGGUGGGGUAACGGCUUACCAAGGCGACGACGGGUAGCCGGUCUGAGAGGAUGUACGGCCACACUGGGACUGAGAUACGGCCCAGACUCCUACGGGAGGCAGCAGUUGGGAAUCUUAGGCAAUGGACGAAAGUCUGACCUAGCGACGCCGCGUGAGGGAAGAAGGCCUCGGUUGUAACCGUACUGUCAUGGGGAAGGAAGUAAGUAGACGGUACCCGAACGAGGAAGGACCCUCGCUAACUACGUGCCAGCAGCCGCGGUAACGAAUACUCGUA
rnacentral:rRNA from 1 species